UUAAUACAAUAGGAAAAAAAUAAAAAAGUGAAGUAUUAUUUAAAAUAUAAAAUUGAAAGAUAAAAAUUAAAAAUAACACUUAUUUUGAAAUAAAUUACUUUUACAAACAUGAAAUUUAUUUUAUGCGGAAGGAGUAUUAAUGGCUAAUAUCUACGAAAAUAUAUUGAGUAAAUAAAUUGAAAUUUCUUCUAUCUUAAAAAAGAUCGCCAAUUCG
rnacentral:lncRNA from 1 species